UACGAAGGGUGCAAGCGUUGUUCGGAAUUAUUGGGCGUAAAGCGCGCGUAGGCGGGCUGGAAAGUCGAUUGUGAAAUACCUGGGCUUAACCUGGGAACUGCAGUCGAAACUUCCUGUCUUGAGUGCCUGAGAGGAUGGCGGAAUUCCCGGUGUAGUAGUGAAAUACGUAGAUAUCGGGAAGAACACCUGAGGCGAAGGCGGCUAUCUGGCGGUGCACUGACGCUGAGGCGCGAAAGCGUGGGGAGCAAACAGG
rnacentral:rRNA from 1 species